GAUGAAGAACGCAGCAAAAUGCGAUAAGUAAUGUGAAUUGCAGAAUUCAGUGAAUCAUCGAAUCUUUGAACGCACAUUGCGCCCGCUGGUAUUCCGGCGGGCAUGCCUGUUCGAGCGUCAUUUCAACCCUCAAGCCCCCGGGUUUGGUGUUGGGGAUCGGCUCUGCCCUUCUGGGCGGUGCCGCCCCCGAAAUACAUUGGCGGUCUCGCUGCAGCCUCCAUUGCGUAGUAGCUAACACCUCGCAACUGGAACGCGGCGCGGCCAUGCCGUAAAACCCCAACUUCUGAAUGUUGACCUCGGAUCAGGUAGGAAUACCCGCUGAACUUAAGCAUAUCAAAAGCGGAGGA
rnacentral:misc_RNA from 1 species